rnacentral:rRNA from 1 species
CCUACGGGUGGCUGCAGUGGGGAAUAUUGCACAAUGGGCGCAAGCCUGAUGCAGCCAUGCCGCGUGUGUGAAGAAGGCCUUCGGGUUGUAAAGCACUUUCAGCGGGGAGGAAGGCGUUAAGGUUAAUAACCUUGUCGAUUGACGUUACCCGCAGAAGAAGCACCGGCCAACUCCGUGCCAGCAGCCGCGGUAAUACGGAGGGUGCAAGCGUUAAUCGGAAUUACUGGGCGUAAAGCGCACGCAGGCGGUCUGUCAAGUCGGAUGUGAAAUCCCCGGGCUCAACCUGGGAACUGCAUUCGAAACUGGCAGGCUAGAGUCUUGUAGAGGGGGGUAGAAUUCCAGGUGUAGCGGUGAAAUGCGUAGAGAUCUGGAGGAAUACCGGUGGCGAAGGCGGCCCCCUGGACAAAGACUGACGCUCAGGUGCGAAAGCGUGGGGAGCAAACAGGAUUAGAUACCCGAGUAGUC